GGGAAAAUCUCAUUAAGGGUAUAUGGUGGAUGCCUUGACUCAAGAAGACGAUGAAGGACGUAGCAGCCUGCGAUAAGCCUCGGUUAGGUGGCAAGCAACCUUUGAUCCGAGGAUGUCCGAAUGGGGAAACCUAUUCUGAUUAAUAUCAGAAUGUCCGCUAGCUGAAUAUAUAGGCUAGUGAGACGACUACCCGGCGAACUGAAACAUCUUAGUAGCCGGAGGAAAAGAAAUAAAUACAGCGCUGACUUACGUUGACUUUAUGCUGACCAACGUGGAAGAAAUUCCGUGUGAGUUCGCUUUAGUCCGCGUGAGUCUGCGUUAAAUUCCCUAAGUAGUGGCGAGCGAAAGGGGAACAGUCUAAACCUUUUAAACCGCGUCCCUCACCGCUUUGCGGCGGGGGACUGAAGGAUCUGGGUCCAUAUGUUUAAGAGGUGUUGCAAGAUAGUUGUUUUCACUUCCCGGAAAAGUGAGGCAGAGGUAAAACAAAAAUAAUUUUCUAGUUGAAGCGAGCUGGAAAGCUCUGCCAGAGCGGGUGAUAGCCCCGUAAACGUAAGCAAUUAUUACUCUGCGAUAACUAAUCUUAAGUACUGCGGGACUCGUGAAAUCCCGUACGAAGCCGGGUCGACUAUGACCCAAGACUAAAUACUUCUUGAGAUCGAUAGUGAACAAGUACCGUGAGGGAAAGGUGAAAAGCAUCCCGUUAAGGGAGAUGAAAUAGUAUCUGAAACCAUAUACUUACAAGGAAUCGGAGCCGCGCUAUGCGCGGUGACGGUGUGCCUAUUGAGGAAUGAGCCAACGAGUUUGCUGUAUGUGGCUUACAUAAUCCGCUAAUGCGGAGUAUGUGUAGUGAAAGCGAGGGUUAAUAGCCCGUCAGUGCUUCGCUGUCGCUCAGCACGAGUUAACUUUAAAGUUUAUAAAGUUUAUAAAGUUAUAAAGUAAAGCAAAUAAAUACUUUUAACUUUCAACUUUCAACUUUUAACUUUUUAACUCGCGAAGCGAUGGCGGAGCGCCAAGUCGCAUAUACAAGACCCGAAGCCGUGUGAUCUAGCCAUGAUCAGGUUGAACCUUCGAGAAAUCUAAGGGAAGGACCGAACCCACUAGUUGUGCAAAACUAGGGGAGGAAUUGUGGUUAGAGGUGAAAUUCCAAUCGAACUCGGCAAUAGCUGGUUCUCCUCGAAAUAGCUUUUGGGCUAGCCUCGAGUGUUUCUUUCAGGGGGUAGAGCACUGAAUGAGGACAGGUCGCAAGAUACUGUCCUUAACCAAACUCCGAAUACCUGGAAAUUAAGCUCGGGAGUCAGACUAUGGGCGCUAAGGUUCAUUAGUCUAAAGGGAAACAGCCCUGAUCACAAUCUAAGGUCCCUAAAUAUAUGCUAAGUGUAAAAGGUGGUGUCGCGACCGCGACAACUAGGAGGUUGGCUUAGAAGCAGCCAUCCUUUAAAGAAAGCGUAAUAGCUCACUAGUCCAGUUGCCGCGCGCCGAAAAUAUAUCGGGGCUAAGCAUAUUACCGAAGAUGUGGGUUUUUUCGCCUACGGGCGAAAGAGCGGUAGAGGAGCAUUCUAAAUUCGCUGAAGCUUAAAUGUGAAUUUGAGUUAAGAAUUUAGAAGAGAGAAUGUUGGCAUGAGUAGCAAAAAGGCAGGUUAAAACCCUGCCCACCGAAAACUUAAGGUUUCCUGGGCAACGCAAAUCGACCCAGGGUUAGUCGGUCCUAAGACAAGGCCUGUGUAGUGCGGGCGUAGCCGAUGGACGAGCUGGUUAAUAUUCCAGCACUGCUGUAAUCUCCGAUGGGAGGACGCGGUUUAAAAGUUUGAGCGUUUUUAAUGGUAUGAACGUUAAUGGCGCAAGAAAUAGGUCUAGGCAAAUCCGGACCGAUAUUUUUGAGCGUUGUUAAAAGACAAAGCCUUUGGCAGAGUCAAUUCAAGUGGAUAAACCGCCCAGAAAAAUCUCUAGGUCGCCGUAAGGCGAAAAGAUUAUGGCAACCGUACCGUAAACCGACGCAGGUAAGUGAGGCGAGAAGCCUAAGGUGUACGAGAGAACCUUCGUUAAGGAACUCGGCAAAAUAGCGGUCGUAAGUUCGCAAUAAGACCUUCCCCCACCACUUUUAACAUAAACAAAAUAAAAGCGUUUGUGAUAAAAGUGGUGGGGGACGCAGCUAAAGAAUUCAAGUGACUGUUUAACAAAAACACAGCUCCCUGCUAACUCGAAAGAGGAUGUAUAGGGGGUGAUGCCUGGCCAGUGUCCGAACGUUAAGGGGAGAGGUCAGCCGUGCUAUGCAUGGUGAAGCUUUGAUCCUAAGCGCGGAUGAACGCCGGCCGUAACUAUAACGGUCCUAAGGUUGUGUGGUUAAUUUAUUGACCAUGCAAGGACUAGGACUGUUAUAGAAAAGUUCGCUGCCUGGCUAUAAUGAAAAUUAUAGUUGUCCAUAAACAUCUGACUAUAUGCUGGAAACUCUGUGGGUAAAACCCCGUAGUAUCAAGCGCUACUUCAUGAUAUAAUGACAAUAAAUAAUUAUUCCUUGUCUAAAUUAUGUCAAUAAGUAAAAAUGCGACUUGUGCAGACAAUCAGCAGGAAAGAUUAAUAAUGAUCGGCUGGAUAAUCGGUUUUGUAGAUGGUGAAGGUUGUUUUUCAAUUAAUUUUGUAAAACAGCCUGAGAGAAAAGACAAAACAAGAAUACGUAGAGGAUAUAAAACUGGUUAUCAAAUAUCCCAUGAAUUUGCGGUAGUUCAAGGAAAAAAGAGCAUUUCAACUUUAAAUAAGCUUCAAAAGUUUUUUAAAGUCGGAGGAAUAUAUAUAAAUCGUCGGCAUGAUAAUCAUAAAGAGCAUUUAUAUAGAUAUUCCGUUGCCAAAAGAGAGGAUUUAAUAAAUAUAAUUAUUCCUUUCUUCCAAAAACGUAAACUGCAAACUUCUAAAAAGUAUGAUUUUUCUUUAUUCGUUAAGUGUAUGAAGUUGAUAAAAGAAGGGAAACAUUUAACGAGAAGCGGCGCUAUAGAAAUAGCGUUACUUUGUGAGAAGAUGAAUCAUAAACGAUCCAGAACCGAACUUAUUAAAAUCCUCAGAAACCAAACGUCAGACUCCGCUAGGGCGCGGAGAAGAUAGAGUUCUAUCUGCAUAGCGAUAUGCAGCCACGAAAGUGGGCUUAAUGGCUAAUAUUAAGCAAAGAGAUUAGCGAAAUUCCUUGUCGGGUAAGUUCCGACCUGCACGAAUGGCAUAACAACUUGAAUACUGUCUCAACGAAGGACUCGGUGAAAUUGCAAGACGAGUAAAGAUGCUCGUUAACCAUAGUUGGACGAAAAGACCCCGUGAAGCUUUACUAUAGCUUGAUAUUGAAUUAGGGGUACGCAUGUUCAGUAUAGGUGGGAGUCGGCCGCAAGGCAGACGUCAGUGAGAUACCACCCUUGUGUGCUUUUAAAUCUAACCCUUGUCCGUGAAUCCGGACUGGGGACAGUAUCUGGUGGGUAGUUUGUCUGGGGCGGAUGCCUCCCAAAGAGUAACGGAGGCGUUUACAAAGGUUGGCUAUCCCGGGAUGGAAAUCCGGGAGAUAGUGUAAAGGCACAAGCCAGCUUUACUGCAAGACCAGCAAGUCGAGCAGUCGCGAAAGCGGAACUUAGUGAUCCGACCGUACGAAAUAGGACGGCGGAAGCUCAUCGGAUAAAAGCUACUCCGGGGAUAACAGGCUAGUCUUGCCCAAGCGUCCACAGCGACGGCAAGGUUCGGCACCUCGAUGUCGGCUCGUCGCAUCCUGGGGGUGGAGAAGCUCCCAAGGGUUGGGCUGUUCGCCCAUUAAAGCGGCACGCGAGCUGGGUUCAGACCGUCGUAAGACAGGUUGGUCUCCUAUCUACUAUGGUCGCGGAAACUUGAGAAGGACAUUCUUCAGUACGAGAGGACCGAGAAUGACGAAGCUCUAGUGUACCAACUGUCCCACCAGGGGCAUCGCUGGGUAGCUACCUUCGGUUAGGAUAAACGCUGAAAGCAUCUAAGCGUGAAGCCGUCUUCAAGAUUAGGUUUCAUAGGUUGGUCAGAGAAUAUGACCUUGAUAGGCUCUAGGUGUAAGGCCCGCAAGGGUUUGAGCCAAGGAGUACUAAUAAACCAUUUGAUUUUCCCAC
rnacentral:rRNA from 1 species